rnacentral:ncRNA from 1 species
AUACAAUCGAUGAACGGGAAAGUAGUUGCCUUGGACCCUAGUCCCCAGCGAGCCGGAAGAGUGAGAGCCGGUACAGGCCAGUUAAUGAAGCGCACCCGGGAGAUGGACUUCUGAACUGAUAGUAGGAAGCCCCGGCUGAAGACCGUUAACCUGUAAGGUGGCUAAACCAAGUUGUUUAGCAACAAGAGUGGUACCGCGAGCGCUAAAGCCCUCGUCUCUUUU